GAAGCCAAUGGCUACUAAAUCAGAAGGAAGAAUUGAAAUUAUGUCAGGUCCUUGACCGCUGAUUGCCUCAGAAGACAAUGUAGUAACCGAAGAUAGCAUCUCAUUUGGGUGCCACAGCUGAUAAUGCUCUUUACCAGACAUUUUUGAGGAAAACCAAGUUACCACUGAUAUAAUAUCCUUGGUGGUGAACCUAUGGCAUGGAUGAUGGAGGGGGCUGCUCCCUUCCCACUGUCCACUGAACCUAAGGAUAUUUCUCCCAUCAUCCACCCCUCUGCCCAGUAGCUCAAUGGGAGCACUUCCUCCCUCCCCUGUCUGGGACUGUGCAUCAGAACAAGAGGAACCAUUUGAAAAAAUGACAGAAUUCCAAGUCUAGGACAUGGGGUAGGGCAGCAGAAGAAACUGAUUUGAGUAUUCAGCUCCUAGAAUGAUCCAAGGAAUGAUUCAAGCUAGUGACAACAUGGCUCAUUCAAGUGCAGGGAUGGUGCUCCUGGAAAUUGUGCCUGGCACAGUGAGGAAUCUAUCCAGUUUUCUGGGUGGAGGUUGCCAGACCCUCCCUGAGUAA
rnacentral:lncRNA from 1 species